GCCGAUAAAUGCCAAAUUUUGCCGUCUUGUAAGCGGUAGGUCGUCAGUUCGAUUCCGACAAUCGGCACCA
rnacentral:tRNA from 1 species